rfam:Schistosoma mansoni, Puerto Rico, WGS project CABG01000000 data, contig: 0204
ACCCAGCUGACGAAUCCCAAGUGGGACGAAACGCGUGUCCUGGAU